rnacentral:rRNA from 1 species
AGAGUUUGAUCAUGGCUCAGGAUGAACGCUAGCUACAGGCUUAACACAUGCAAGUCGAGGGGAAACGACAUCGAAAGCUUGCUUUUGAUGGGCGUCGACCGGCGCACGGGUGAGUAACGCGUAUCCAACCUGCCCAUCACUUGGGGAUAACCUUGCGAAAGUAAGACUAAUACCCAAUGAUAUCUCUAGAAGACAUCUGAAAGAGAUUAAAGAUUUAUCGGUGAUGGAUGGGGAUGCGUCUGAUUAGCUUGUUGGCGGGGUAACGGCCCACCAAGGCUACGAUCAGUAGGGGUUCUGAGAGGAAGGUCCCCCANAUUGGAACUGAGACAACGGUCCAAACUCCUACGGGAGGCA